UACGUAGGUCCCGAGCGUUGUCCGGAUUUAUUGGGCGUAAAGCGAGCGCAGGUGGUUUAUUAAGUCUGGUGUAAAAGGCAGUGGCUCAACCAUUGUAUGCAUUGGAAACUGGUAGACUUGAGUGCAGGAGAGGAGAGUGGAAUUCCAUGUGUAGCGGUGAAAUGCGUAGAUAUAUGGAGGAACACCGGUGGCGAAAGCGGCUCUCUGGCCUGUAACUGACACUGAGGCUCAAAAGCGUGGGGAGUAAACAGG
rnacentral:rRNA from 1 species